rnacentral:rRNA from 1 species
AGGAUCAUUUGCAAUGGGCGAAAGCCUGACAAUGCGACGCUGCGUGCAGGAUGAAGGCCUUCGGGUUGUAAACUGCUGUUGGGAGGGAAAAGGACGCGGGGCCCAACAAGCCCUGCCGUUUGAUUGUACUUCCAGAGAAAGUCGCGGCUAACUCUGUGCCAGCAGCCGCGGUAAUACAGAGGCGACGAGCGUUGUUCGGAUUUACUGGGCGUAAAGCGUGCGCAGGCGGUGGACCAUGUCCGACGUGAAAUCCCGGGGCUCAGCUCCGGAAGUGCGUCGGAAACCGGUCCGCUGGAGACCGGGAAGGGAGUCUGGAACACACGGUGUAGCGGUGAAAUGCGUUGAUAUCGUGUGGAACACCGGAAGCGAAGGCGAGACUCUGGAACGGAUCUGACGCUCAUGCACGAAAGCGUGGGGAGCAAACA